AGUGGACGAGAAGUCUGCUCUCCACUCUCAACCCUUUCGAGGAGCGGCAGUGUGUUUGGGGCUUCUUUGUGCCCUCUUAGUUUCAGCCAUUAGAUUCCUCUGUGUCUACUUCAGCACUGCUCUCUCAGAGCACAACACAAAGUUGGUGGGGGAACUGGCGGCCAAUCAGGACCUAAUGAAUCUCAAUAGCAAUCUGAGUACAGCCAAUCACAUUUUGCAGAGUGAUUACACCAAUGUCAGCACUCCAAACCGACGUUUAGCGGCAGAGAAAGAACAUGUGUCAAGAGAGAGGGAUAGACUGAACUGGAAUCUUCAGUUCAUAUUUCAGUUUGAUGACUUUCCGGUCAAGAAAUAUUGUUCACAAAACGUUGGCUGAGGAGAGAGAGUGUGUAACUCUUGCCAAGAUGGCUGGAUUUUGUUCCAAUCUAGUUGUUACCUGAUUGUGCAAUAUGACCCUCCAUGGAAGACCUGGACAGAAAGCCAACAAUAUUGCAAACAAGAGAAUGCUGAUUUGCCCGCCAUUGGCAGCCGAGCAGAACAGGUGGGACACUGGUGCAAACAAGAGUUUAGAGCAGUGGUGUAAAGUACUUAAGUAAAAAUACUUUAAAAUACUACUUAAGUCGUUUACUUUGAGAUUUACUCCACUAC